UACGAAGGGGGCUAGCGUUGCUCGGAAUCACUGGGCGUAAAGCGCACGUAGGCGGGUCCUUAAGUCAGGGGUGAAAUCCCGGAGCUCAACUCCGGAACUGCCUUUGAUACUGGGGAUCUUGAGUCCGGAAGAGGUGAGUGGAACUCCGAAUGUAGAGGUGAAAUUCGUAGAUAUUCGGAAGAACACCAGUGGCGAAGGCGGCUCACUGGUCCGGUACUGACGCUGAGGUGCGAAAGCGUGGGGAGCGAACAGG
rnacentral:rRNA from 1 species